UCCCACCCCCGCCCCACCCCCGCUCACGUGACUCCCUUGUUCAGGUGAUCUCGGUGCGCCCGGCUCCGCCCAGGUCCGGGUCACAUGAGGAAUGCCCUGGCGGGACGCGAAGCGGCGCAGGCGAGACUUGGACGUCAGGUAUCCUUCAAGGCCUGUGCUCUCCUGCCGGCCGCACACCCCGACCUCAGUUUCCUCUUCUACCGCGCCUAACUGCAGCGUGAGCAACCGUGCCCAGCCACGAUUAGCAAGGUGGAGUAGAAAAGGGAUUUUAGAUCAAACUGCCAGGGCGGAAACUGUCUUAGCACAGCCGCGUCGGUGCGGAUACGUGCGAGCUGGGCCUCAAGACUACCUGAUCCAUUGUCAGAGGCCCAAGAUGCUCCGGGAAGCUCUGGGACAGAGGAUGGAGGUGCAGGUGGAGGCGAUGGCUGGGCAAGGUGAAGGAGAAGGCCCCUCUUGAAGCAUGGCAGCCCAGCCCAACAGAACCAGAGUUUAACCUCUUGCCUGGAGAAUACGCAUCUGUUGCACUUCACCCUGGGAAGGGAGCAGCUCUGCCUGCAGAGUGGGAAACACUGUCAAGGUACAGAGCCAAUUCCAAUCAAUGAAGUAGGGCCCGCCUGCAGGUAUGAAACAGGACCAGGAGGGACCCUGGGAGAGGGCUGGCACCCACCUCCCGGACUGAAUAGUGGGGUGGGAAGGCAGAACUCAGGUAGACUGAAGGGUGCUUGGCUUCCAGGGCACAGCCCUCCAGGCUACAAACCCCAGGCAAAACUUCUGUGCCACAGACAACAGGGCUGAGGACUCAGGCAAAUGGGCUUGGGAGAAGCUUCUGAGGGGUGGGAAAAGCAAGGAGUCCAGUCCAUCCCACAAGAGCCCUCCUGACCAGGACAAAGACCAACAAAGCUGACCAAUUAAUAGGUGUCCCUGAGGGACACUGGGCCUCUGUGGAGGCCUUGAGGAUGUGACAACAAAGCCCAUUGCCUCACACCAGAAUGCUCAGAAGCCUAACUUAAAUCCAGACACCAUGUGGGCAGAAGGAGAGACUAGAGAGAAUCCCAGGUUGACUGAGUACUUUCCCAACAGACUGCUGUGACUGGAGGCCUCCGGACAUGCAGGGAAGGUCAGCCAAGCUGAGUUCUGUCUGAGAACACUCCCUUUUCCACACAUCUGAGUUUGUGGAUGGAGAAAUGUAUGCCUUUUAUGGGUUGUGGCAAUGUCCCUCUAGGAAUAUUGUCCUAGUUUUCCAUUGAUCUUGUAAAUGAAUGCAUUAUGGGCCUUUGGCCUUCAAGUCUCUUGUCCCCUCUCUCCCUAAGCUUUGGUCUCACUGCUUCCUCCUUAAAUGUCAAACUUGCUGUUGUGAGAGAGCUAUGCCAGUUACAUAUAAGCAGACAUAUUUGUGUCUUUCCACAAAGUCAGAAUUUGAAUACCAUUGUCUUUAUACAAUGGAAUACUACUCUAACACAAAGAAGGAUAACCUCAAAACAUUUCUAGCUAAGUGGAUGCACCUUGAGACCAUACUCUUAAAUGAAAUAAAUUGGACACAUGCAAGUUUAAAUACUGCAUUAUUUCCCUGUGUGAGAAACCAAAAGUAUAAAUAGGGACCAAAAUGUAUAAUAGAUAUUGAAAAAUGGGAAGAAAAUGUUCAAAUGAAAAAGGAAACAGGGCCAGGGAUUUAGAUCAGUGGUGCCACCGCCUGCCUCACAAGCGCAAGGUCCUGAGUUUGAUCUCUGGUACCACACACACACAAAAAAAUAGGAGGAACAAGGAAGCGGAAAGGGGGAAAGGAAAGAAGGGACAGGAAAAAAAGGAAUAGAAGGAUAAAAUAGAAACAAAGCUUUUGUAAAUAAGGAGAGAAAGAGAAGUCAAGGGGAGGGGAGAAGAAUAGGAAAAAAGAAAAAGCAAGACAUAUCAUGUACAGAUAUAAAUUCCCUACGAUGACUGUUAUCAUUAUGUAUAUCUAAAAUGUACCAAUAAAAAACUAAAAAUUAAAAAUAAAUUUUAAAAAGAAUAACAGUAAUUUCAUGAGCUACAUCAAUUUUGUCAACCUUAUCAGGCCUACUCAAGAUUCACUCAGUAACCGAUAGUGGACAAUCGCAGGUUCUUCUAUUCUAAUAUUAAUUGCUAAUAUAAUUCUGUAACAUCCAAGCUGCACAUCAUACUUCAUAUGAUAAUUUAUAGGUCACACAAUGGCCAAUAAAUGGUUAAUGGUGGCUACAGAAUUCUUUGAAGAAGAAGAACUGAAAACCAAAGCCGAGCAGCUGCAGACACUUGGGAAGUCACCACAGGUGGCCGCAGAGGCCCCCCAGGGCUUGCUAACCACACAGAGUAUAUCAAAGCCACAGUGUAGACACCCUAUGGUUGGGGCGCCAUCUGCAAGGUGGUGGAGCUGCAGUGAAGCCUGUUCAAGCUGGGGUUUGUGACCUGUUGCCUGCCUGACACGUGCAC
rnacentral:lncRNA from 1 species